UACGUAGGGUGCAAGCGUUGUCCGGAAUUAUUGGGCGUAAAGAGCUCGUAGGUGGCCUGUCGCGUCGGCUGUGAAAACUCGGGGCUCAACUCCGAGCUUGCAGUCGAUACGGGCAGGCUAGAGUUCGGCAGGGGAGACUGGAAUUCCUGGUGUAGCGGUGAAAUGCGCAGAUAUCAGGAGGAACACCGGUGGUGUAGACGGCUCUCUGGACCGUAACUGACGCUGAGACACGAAAGCGUGGGUAGCAAACAGG
rnacentral:rRNA from 1 species